rnacentral:rRNA from 1 species
AGUGAACGCUGGCGGUAGGCUUAACACAUGCAAGUCGAACGGCAACACAGUAAGAGCUUGCUCUUACGGGUGGCCAGUGGCGGAAGGGUGAGGAAUACAUCGGAAUCUAGUCUUUCGGGGGGGAUAACGUAGGGAAACUUACGAUAAUAUCGCAUAACACCUACGGGGGAAAGCAGGGGAUCGUCGCACCUUGCGCGGUUGAAUGAGCCGAUGUCGGAUUAGCUAGUUGGCGGGGUAAAGGCCCACCAAGGCGACGAUCCGUAGCUGGUCUGAGAGGAUGAUCGGCCACACUGGAGCUGAGACACGGUCCAGGCUCCUACGGGAGGCAGCAGUGGGGAAUAUUGGGCAAUGGGCGCAAGCCUGAUCCAGCCAUACCGCGUGGGUGAAGGAGGCCUUCGGGUUGUAAAGCUCUUUUGUUGGGAAUGAAAAGCUGCAGGCUAAUACCCCGCGGUACUGACGGUACCCAAAGAAUAAGCACCGGCUAACUACGUG